UUUCCAAGGAGAAAAAAAGCGGGGGGUGGUGGUAUUCUUUUUCAAGCAAGCAAUCUCUUGUAAAAUUCACUUUGCAGCUUCUACCCGAAUCAUAUAGCAAGAUUUCCUCAUUCGCCAGACUGUGGAAAUAAAUCAACUAUCUAGAAAUUUUAUACUUUAAGACCCUGAGUUACUCUUUACAUCCAAAAGAACCAAAGUCAUGAGAUUAAAUUAAAAAAGGGUUUGGUAGAUCCAGAGAAUUAUUAGCUGUCAGUGUUAGGGAGAAUAGCAUUAACAUUUUAUGGGGUAUUUCUACUUUAUGCCUAUCACCUCAUAUACUAUAAUCUCAUUUCACCUUAAUAUAUAUAGGUAUGAAGUAUAUAUUUAUAUAUGUAAUAUAUUUAUACAAGUAAUAUAUUAAUCCCAUAAAAAGGUAUAAAAUAAAAAAUAACGUAUCUUCACUCCAUCAUCUCUCUUCCCUUUGUAUAUAUAUCCAGAAAAAAGGUUUUAUGCAUAUACCUGUAUGUUUAGAAAUACAAUGGAUAUGUGCAUAUAUGUAUAUACUUUUUAUUAUAUAUGUAUAACUUUAAUUAACACAAAUAGAGUCAUAUGAUCCACACCACUGCCUAUGUAGCUUUUAAAACAUAAAUACAUAUGGGAGCUGUUUCCUCAAAAGCACAUACAGACCAAGCUCAUUACUGUAUUUGACUGUGUGGCAUUCCGUAGUAUGAGCGUACCAGAGUAUAUUACCUGGUUCCUAUUGGUGGACAUUUAGAUUGUUUCUUGUUUUUAUAAUUAUAAGUAGUUAUAAGAAUGUAUUAAUAUCUGU
rnacentral:lncRNA from 1 species